rnacentral:rRNA from 1 species
AGCUCCAAUAGCGUAUAUUAAAGUUGUUGCAGUUAAAAAGCUCGUAGUUGGAUUUCUGUUCUUGGGAUCUGGUCCGCCUCACGGUGAGCACUGGAUAACUGGGGACAUCCUCUCGAAGGCGGCAGGUGCACUUGAUUGUGUGUUUGUUGAAUUCGGGACCUUUACUUUGAAAAAAUUAGAGUGUUCAAAGCAGGCGUCGGCUUGAAUACAUUAGCAUGGAAUAAUGGAAUAGGACUUUGGUUCUAUUUUGUUGGUUUCUAGGACCGAAGUAAUGAUUAAUAGGGACAGUUGGGGGCAUUAGUAUUUAAUUGUCAGAGGUGAAAUUCUUGGAUUUAUGAAAGACUAACUACUGCGAAAGCAUUUGCCAAGGAUGUUUUCAUUAAUCAAGAACGAAAGUACG